rnacentral:rRNA from 1 species
UACGAAGGGGGCUAGCGUUGCUCGGAAUUACUGGGCGUAAAGGGCGCGUAGGCGGCACUGUUAGUCAGGCGUGAAAGUCCUGGGCUCAACCUGGGAACUGCGCUUGAUACGGCAGAGCUAGAGGAUGGAAGAGGCUCGCGGAAUUCCCAGUGUAGAGGUGAAAUUCGUAGAUAUUGGGAAGAACACCCGUGGCGAAGGCGGCCAUCUGGACCAGUACUGACGCUGAGGCACGAAAGCGUGGGGAUCGAAACAAGG